UUGAAUGAACUUGGUAUGGUUGUUGCUGGCCCCUUUGGGGGCAUGUGCACACCUGCCAUUCUCAUCUCUCCACCUGUGCACGUUUUGUAGAUUUGGAAUGACUUUCUGAGGAAACUCAGUCGGGAGGAUUGCUGGUCUUUCUGGCUUUCCUUGUAUUUCCAAGUCUAUGUUUUUCAUAUACCCCAUUGUAUGUAACAGAAUGUAUUAUUAGGCCUUUGCGCCUAUAAAAACUAUA
rnacentral:misc_RNA from 1 species